rnacentral:lncRNA from 1 species
CGAUUGCUCCAACGGAACGACUCCUGUCUCAUCUUUUCGCCGACGCCACUCAUCCUUCAGGACUCCCUGGACCCCGCUAGGGCAGGACCCCGGCAUGCCUGAAAUAAAUAAUAGGUGAUUUCAUGAGAGGAAUAAAGGAGCUCAGCAUUUCCAAGGGAUGCAUACGAAGGUCAGGAGGAGCAACUUCCUUCUGAUGAAGACGGAUAUUUAUGGAUUGUCUAUAAAGUUGGUUAAAAUUUCUUAUCCUUCUUCCUUUUAUAGAGGCUGACUCUUAGAGUGAAACCUAUAUAUUUUCCUUCCCUCAUCUCUACAUAGCAGGUAUUUUGAAUUUUAUCUCCAGACCACCCCUUGUAUUUGUUUCUUCUUUUCCAAUCUCUAUGACUCUUAUUAGCUCAUGCUUGGGUUAUUGCAGUGUCCUUCUAACUGGUCUUCCUAUCUUGGCUCUGAAAUGAUCAGUGGUAUUUGGGAGGAUUAAACUGAUUCACUGGUGUUAAUCAUCCUACCUUGAAAUUUCAUUGCAACAUUUAAUCUUAUAUUCCUGUUCUUUUCCAUUUUCAGCAUGUAUUUUCUGAAAGUAUUCAACCUUUUCUGUCUUUA